rnacentral:rRNA from 1 species
CAGAGGUCCCGAGCGUUGUUCGGAUUCACUGGGCGUAAAGGGUGCGUAGGUGGUGAGGUAAGUCGGAUGUGAAAUCUCCAGGCUCAACCUGGAAACUGCAUUGGAAACUACCUUGCUGGAGGAUUUGAGGGGGGAUUGGAAUACUUGGUGUAGCAGUGAAAUGCGUAGAUAUCAAGUGGAACACCAGUGGCGAAGGCGAAUCCCUGGAAAAUACCUGACACUGAGGCACGAAAGCUAGGGGAGCAAACAGGAUUAGAUACCCUGGUAGUCCUAGCCCUAAACGGUGCUUGCUUGCUGUAAGAGGAAUCGGCCCCUCUUGUGGCGGAGCUAACGCGUUAAGCAAGCCGCCUGGGAAGUACGGUCGCAAGAUUA